AAAUGCGAUAAGUAAUGUGAAUUGCAGAAUUCAGUGAAUCAUCGAAUCUUUGAACGCACAUUGCGCCCGGCAGCAAUCUGCCGGGCAUGCCUGUCCGAGCGUCAUUUCUGCCCUCGAGCGCGGUUCGGCCCCUAGCGGGCCGGCCGCCGCCCGGUGUUGGGGCGCUGCGGGCCCUCGUGCCCGCAGGCCCUGAAAUGAAGUGGCGGUCCCGCCGCGGCGCCCCCUGCGUAGUAGUAAAGCACCUCGCAUCGGGUCCCGGCGGAGGCCAGCCGUCGAACCUCUCUUUUGAUGGUUUGACCUCGGAUCAGGUAGGGUUACCCGCUGAACUUAAGC
rnacentral:misc_RNA from 1 species